rnacentral:rRNA from 1 species
GGGCCCGCACAAGCGGUGGAGCAUGUGGUUUAAUUCGACGCAACGCGAAGAACCUUACCAGCUCUUGACAUUGCUAAGUCGCGAGUUUUAGAGAUAAAACUCUUCAGUUCGGCUGGACUUAGUACAGGUGCUGCAUGGCUGUCGUCAGCUCGUGUCGUGAGAUGUUGGUUAAGUCCCGCAACGAGCGCAACCCUUGUCCUUAGUUGCCAGCAAUUCGGUUGGGCACUCUAGGGAGACUGCCGGUGAUAAACCGGAGGAAGGCGGGGAUGACGUCAAGUCCUCAUGGCCCUUACGGGCUGGGCUACACACGUGCUACAAUGCAACGUACAAAGCGACGCGAAAUCGCGAGAUCAAGCAAA